rnacentral:tRNA from 1 species
CGGGGUGUAGCGCAGCUUGGUAGCGCGCGUCGUUCGGGACGACGAGGCCGCAGGUUCGAAUCCUGUCACCCCGA